AGAAAAAGAUUUUGGAAUGCCUUUAAUCUUCUAAAUCAACAAUAAAGAAAAAAAUGAAAUAAAGGUCAAGGUUUUGAUACACUGCUUCUAAAAUACAUCCCAUACUGAGUAAAAUACCAUGAAAUCAUCUGUCAGAACCGACUUUCGUCCAGAGACUACAUUCCAAGAGCGUGAAGACAGCGAAGUGGCUAUUGAUGGUUUUCUUAGAUUCCAAUGCACCUUAAUCAUAGUCACAAGACUGUGCGUUUUCAUCACUGCAGGAGCUGGCAGAAUUUUGUGACAAUCCUGGGAAAUGUUUUCAGAUGGCCCCUUCUAUGAAUUAUGAAUGUUUCACAAAGCUCUAUGGUUUCCAUGAGUGAAUUUGGUGUUAUGGCAAGAUUUGAAACUGUCUGACCUGUUAGGGGUGAAAACAACUUGUCUGGACUGUCUGCCUCUCACUGUGGGAGCAGCUCCUGGCUUAGAAGUUCUAGACAAGGUCCAAAGGCAGUUAACAGAGAACCUACAUCUUAACACAGGAGAUUCCAGGGAGUCACACAGAUGGCCCCCAUGGAGGGUCAAGCUGGACGAGGAAAGAGAGGUGAAAUAUGAGAGAAGCUGAGAGGAUACACAGCAGGAAGACAAGCUUUCAAGGAGCUUCAGCAUGUGCAUCUGCAUUUAGACCACAAAGAGCAACAGUGCUGGAAUUUCCACUCUCUGAGGUGUUUGGUAUGUGAAUCCCAUGGUAGGGAAAGUUGUUUUGAAAGAAUCAUGCAAAAUUGAAGAGAAUGUUUAUUUAAUAAGCAUCAAGUUUUGCUCAAGCUUAAUACAUUCUCAACUGUGUGACUUUAGGAAAUACAAUCUGUACAGUGUCUCUGAGGUAACCACUUACCAUAGACAACAAUACAACUCAUACAGCUAAAAUAAGCAUCUCAAAAAUAUCUGCCCAGCCCUCAGCUUCCCAACCACUCCGCGCAGAUACGUGUCUAUUUUGUACCUAAAUAUUACCCAAAGUGGAAACUGUCCACCUAUAUCUCAUUUCUGUGUUUUAUCACAGUAAGUCCCUAUUCCAUGAAUUUGCUUUUGCCAUUUUUAUGACAUAUCAAUGUCUGUCCAAAAGACUCCCAUAAAUUAUUCAGCUUCUAGUAGGUCACCUAAGAAAGGCCAAGAGAGGAAUUUUCCAUCAAAUUAGUACUUUCUUCACCAGAAAUAAGGGUGGAAGACUCUCUCAACAAGACACCACAGAAGAGGCGGGUGGGUGGUAAAUUUCUUCUUUGUUUUUCUUCUGUAGUCGAUGCCUCCUCCAUGACAGUUUUACUAUGUGAUAAUUAUUUGUUAAUAUGUUUGGUUUUCCUCUAGAUCCAACCUUCCUUGAUGAAAGGAUGUUAGGGGCUCAAUAAAUGCUUCAUGAAGAAAUGAAUCCAAUAACAUGCCAGGUCUGCUUCUAUCUAUACCUUAUCACCUACAUUUUUGGCUUUAUUAAUUAACAAAGAAGUGGGGAGGGAGUAAAUUUUUUUAUUCUAAGAACUCACUUUGCUCUAAAGUCCUCUGAGCAACAUGUGGGCAUCAGGGUCUGUCUGCAUCCCAAUUAAUAUGUUUUCACUGAGCUUCCUUUCCAGGCUGGAUGCACAAAGAGUGCCAAUGCAAGUGUUGAAGACCUGCUCCCUAACACUACUUGGACGAUCUGUUCUAGUCCUUUGGAAGCUUCUUCCUCUGACAGGAUACUGUCCUAGAGAUUAUCCCACUGCCCAGGGAUAAGACUCAAUAAAGAUGGUGAUAAAUUAGGAGAGGGGAGAUGAUGGAGGAACCUGUGGAAGAGGAAAGAGGAGAACAGAAAAUGAGAAGACGAAAUCUAAGUGAGAGCACAUGAAUAUGGCAGGAGAUCUAUGAGUCAAGAGGACCUGCAUUGAAUGUUUAUCUUGUCAAUGACCCAUAGUAAUGAAAGCCAACUGCACAAAAAUAUAUAUACCUACAGGAAUCUUGCAAGCUGUAGAAAAAAUCACGGGAUGGUUAUUUUAGAAUAUGGACACAAAUUCUUUAUUUAAAGCAUUAAGUAAUGUUAAUCUAUUCAUUCUGCAAAUAUGUAUUAAAUGCUACCCAUGGAUAUUACUAAACCAUGGAGAUUAUUAAAAAGAGCCUGGAAUCCCUUCCCUCUCUCUCUCUUGCUCCCUCUCUCAUCACAUGACACAUCAGCUCCCCAUUCACCUUCUGCUAUGAUUGAAAGCUUCCCGAAGCCCUCACCAGAAGCAGAUGCUGGUGCCACACUUCUUGU